GUUCACAAAGACAAACGGAAAAGCUUUCCACAAUGGAAAGACCUUGUUUGAAAGUCCACGCUUGAUGCCAUGAAAAUUAAUAGUUAUUGUCAAAGUGCUUAUAAACUAGAGGGGAAAAACAGAAGGAAAAAGAAAGUUCUCCACUUUGAUUUGUGGUGGAAGAAUAUGCUAUAACAAUCAUAGUAAGUGCUCGUCGAUGUUGAUCUGCAUUAUUUAUGUAAUAUAUAAAUAUACGCUUACGCGUACACACACAUAUAACAGCUUAGUACAUAUUGCACAAGGAAAAAAAAACACCAGAAAACAAAAAUCAAGCAAUGCUUAUCUAGUAUGACAAGUCUAAAUGAAAUUCAUACUUCUAUAUGGAAUUGCUUUUCCUGUUUAAAAAAGAUGGACUGCUUUUUCUUCACAGCUAGCGAUUCUUAUACAUUCCAACAGAUUCCAAUUACCCCAUGCCAGAAAUUCGGAGUCUUUUGGAUCAUUUCAUACUUUUUGCACAAAUUAAGCAUCUGAUUCUGAUCCCAUUCUUUUCCUCCAUGUCUUUCCAUCCACUCACAUCUAUCCUUGGAAUCACUUUAGCUUCUAUUGUCCAUUAUUUCAACCACCUUUCCACAUCCAAACCUUCUACUUUGUUAUUUGAAUAUUCAAAGACCAUAAACGUCAAUAACAGAAUAUUUUAGUAGUCAAUUACUCUAAAAAGCAUCAUAAGUCAUUCAUAUACUGUCACUACUAACCUCAUUCAAGACGUUUUCCUGAUUUACUAUUUCAACUAUGCAUUCAAGUUGUUGAACCACAUCUUUCAUGCUGGGCCUAUCUGCCUUCCUCUCCCGCAGACAAGCAAAGGCUAGCUCUGAGAACAGUUUUAUGCUUGUUAGUAUAUUCCCUGAGGGAUGUUUACCGAGCAGCCGCUGAUCUGUGACUUCCAUGAUUGUACCAUUUUUUGCUUGUUGGCUCACAUAAAUGGCUAAAUUGACAUCAUCUUGAUCUCGUGAGAAGUCGAUGGCUUUUUGUGAAGUCAAAAGCUCAAGCAACAUGACUCCAUAACUAUAAACAUCACUUUUAUCAGUUAACUGAUAGUUGCGGUAAUAUUCAGGAUCCACGUACCCCAGUGUUCCCCGAGCACAGGUUGACACAUGGCUCAGCCCUGGGCGAGCUAGUCUGGAGAGCCCAAAAUCUGCAACUUUAGCAUUGAAGUCAUCAUCCAGUAGUAUAUUUGUUGACUUGACAUCUCUGUGGUAAAUGGGAGUGUAUACUCCUGAAUGCAAAUAAGCCAAUGCUUCAGCAGUUUGCAGAGCAAUUCUCAGCCUUGUUCUCCAAUCCAGAAAGGUUGAAGAGUUUCCAUGUAAAAGUUCAUGUAGUGUCCCAUUAGAAAUGUACUCAUAGAUCAUCAAAGGCUCCUCACCUUCUAUGCAACAACCCAAGAGUUUAACCAAGUUCUUGUGAUUGAUUUGAGAAAGUAUUCCAACUUCAUUGAGUACUUGUUGGGUGCUUUUGACAUUACCAACUUUAGCUAACUUAAUAGCCACCACAGUUCCAUCUUGAAGCUCAGCUUUGUAGACUUCUCCAAAACCACCACUCCCCAAAACCCUGUCUUUAGAGAAAUUUUUUGUUGCUUUCUUUACCUCCUUCAACUGGAACAUCCUUACAGUUUUCCCACCAUUGCUUGAUUUCAGAAUGUCUUCUCUCGCUUUUGUGAGCUUUGCUUGGGUAACAUGUGUGGACUUGCGUAAAAUAAUCACACCCAUGACUGCAGCUAUAGAGACAAAGGAGAUUACCCCUAUUGAGACCUUCAAACUGAGGCUAGCCUUCCUGUUGCUUUUCUUUUUCUGGCAACUUCCUUGACCAUGAUCCCACUGAUAGCCCCUAUUGCAGAGGCAACGAAAGAGGCUGUUUGUACCAGCAGGUAAACACUUGGAAGCUCCAGAACAAUCAAGCUGUGUUUCACAAAUUGGUUCAGGUGGAGAAGCCCAUUGAAUUUCCAGUCCUUCUUCCCAAUGAUUUGCAGGUCUUUCAGGAUCCAAAUUAAGGAUGCUUCUGAAUGCUUUACAACCCGAACUAUGAAGCCUUAUUUUAUAUGCUGAGGGCAUUCCACCUUCAAUAAAGGUGCAGCAGGGGUGGAGACUGCUGGCACACUGAAGUGAUCGAUUUUUGUCAGAGUUCUCCAAGUAACGGUGACAAAGACUAGAAGGGGUGCAAUUGAGAGGAGAGACAAGGAGCCGCGGUGAACAGUUGAAGAGGAAGAUUGUGUUGGAUGAAGUGACAUUAAAAGGGAGUGUCUGGUUUAACCAAAGGCCCUCACUCACCAGCAUGUCUUGAGUAACACAUGUGCCAGACACCCAUGGUGAUGGUUGCACGACCAUGGGCUGAAAUGAGGCCAUGAUUCUGAUUACAAGGUAAGAACUUCCAUUCAGGGCAUCAAAAUAAAGUUUCUGAGAUUGGGGAUCACAGCGAAGAUGAUAGUUUGGGUCACCACAAUUGGGGUUUGUGCUCAGAGGAUAUGGAACUUCUACGGAGCCACAGUUUGGGCAGGUUUUCUGGGGAUAACAGUAAUGACUGAAGAAAAGAAGAAAACAAAUAUAGCUAAGAAGGAAAAGUGGUUUUGUAGUAGAUUUAGUUGUGAUCAUUUUUCCUGAGCACAGUGGAAGAGCUGAAAAGUAUAAUGGCACAAAGAGGAAAGUAGAUGGGGUACAUAAAAGGCUAGAAAAAGAGAAUAAAUUGGGUGAAUGAUAGUUUAGAAAGUGACUCCAGGCAUCCAUCUGGGAAACUCUCAAACUUUCGGUAUUUAUUGUAAUGGUGGGUUCCUCCUAUAUGGGGUGCACAAGGAUAGAAUUUCUAGCCAUCUUCUCUACAUAAGGAAAGAUCUAGGCAGAAAAAGUUUAAACAUUGUGACUCUUCAAAUUUUCUUCUUCUUUCACGUGCAUUAAAGGGAAAUUCUGAGGCAUGAGUGCCCUUUGCACUACCACUCAUUUCAAGUUUAUGUUCUCUUAUAAGCAUACAUGUGAAUGGCAUACCGCUGAUACUAUUAUUGGUAUACUCUGUACAAUUAAGCAUAUGACAACUCAUCCCCUUUGUCAACACAAAAUAAUUAAUAAAGAGCAAAGAAUUUUCUUGUAAUCAAAUGCACCAUGAUUAGAUGGAUAAUAUUUUUAUCAUUCUACAAA
rnacentral:misc_RNA from 1 species